CUUCGUGUCGGCUGCCGUCUUCUUGUUGUGCCCUGGCGCCGCUGUCGACGCCAACAGACACCACCGGACCCUGCUAGUUCUUCACUGCCGGCUGAGGGUUGUUGCUCUUCUCGGUGACGAUCACUGGACUUGAAGAGCAUUCCGGCCACUGUUGCUUGCUUCCAUCACCGGAGAAGGUCAGUGAACAGCAACAUGAAGUAGUUCGUGUUGGACUUAUGACCAUGAAGAGCAUUGCUGAUUGGAACAUGAAGCCAACACAAGAAACUGAUGCAACAUUGAUGAUCAUGUUGUUGACUAAGCAUCAUCAUGUUGGAGAACAAUUGUUGGUCCUCCAAGUUGAACGUUAUUGAUUUGGGUGGUUCUUCUAAGCAACCAAGUUGUGGUUCUGUGCUGAUCAAGAGAGGGAUGUGCUGCUCUUACUUCUUCGACUGUGUAUCACAGUAGUGGUUUGGUGAAAAGAAAGACUGUGAUUCGAGACGGGCGUCUCGACAUCGGGUUGGUUCGAUUCGAUCUAUAUCGGAG